CUACGGGUUGCUGCAGUGAGGAAUAUUGCACAAUGGGGGGAACCCUGAUGCAGCAACGCCGCGUGGAGGAUGACGCAUUUCGGUGUGUAAACUCCUUUUAUAUGUCAAGAAAAUGACGGUAGCAUAUGAAUAAGCACCGGCUAACUCCGUGCCAGCAGCCGCGGUAAUACGGAGGGUGCAAGCGUUACUCGGAAUCACUGGGCGUAAAGGACGCGUAGGCGGGUUGGAAAGUCAGGUGUGAAAUCCUACAGCUUAACUGUAGAACUGCACUUGAAACUUCUAAUCUAGAGUAUGGGAGGGGAGAUGGAAUUACUGGUGUAGGGGUAAAAUCCGUAGAUAUCACUAGGAAUACCUAAAGCGAAGGCGAUCUCCUGGAACAUUACUGACGCUAAGGCGCGAAAGCGUGGGGAGCAAACAGGAUUAGAUACCCGCGUAGUC
rnacentral:rRNA from 1 species